AGUCGAACGGUGUCUUCGGACAUAGUGGGCGCACNGGGUGCGUAACACGUAUGCAACCUACCUUACAUUGGGGGAUAGCCUUUCGAAAGGGAGAUUAAUACCGCAUAAGACAGUAACUAGGCAUCUAGUAGCUGUUAAAGAUUUAUCGAUGUAAGCUGGGCAUGCGACCAAUUAGCUUGUUGGUGAGGUAAUGGCUCACCAAGGCUAUGAUUGGUAGGGGAACUGAGAGGUCAAUCCCCCACACUGGCACUGAGAUACGGGCCAGACUCCUACGGGAGGCAGCAGUAGGGAAUAUUGGGCAAUGGACGCAAGUCUGACCCAGCCAUGCCGCGUGCAGGAUGAAGGCGUUAUGCGUUGUAAACUGCUUUUAUACAGGAAGAAACGACUCUUGCGAGAGGCAUUGACGGUACUGUAUGAAUAAGCACCGGCUAACUCCGUGCCAGCAGCCGCGGUAAUACGGAGGGUGCAAGCGUUGUCCGGAUUUAUUGGGUUUAAAGGGUGCGCAGGUGGUUUAUUAAGUCAGUGGUGAAAGACGGUCGCUCAACGAUUGCAGUGCCAUUGAAACUGGUAGACUUGAGUAAAGUAGAGGUGGGCGGAAUUGAUAGUGUAGCGGUGAAAUGCAUAGAUAUUAUCAAGAACUCCAAUUGCGUAGGCAGCUCACUUGGCUUUUACUGACACUCAUGCACGAAAGUGUGGGUAUCAAACAGGAUUAGAUACCCUGGUAGUCCACACUGUAAACGAUGAUAACUAGGUGUCGGCCGAAUCUGGUCGGUGCCACAGCGAAAGCGUUAAGUUAUCCACCUGGGGAGUACGCCGGCAACGGUGAAACUCA
rnacentral:rRNA from 1 species